UUCCAGACUCCUACGGGAGGCAGCAGUGGGGAAUAUUGGGCAAUGGGCGCAAGCCUGACCCAGCAACGCCGCGUGAAGGAAGAAGGCUUUCGGGUUGUAAACUUCUUUUAAGAGGGAAGAGUAGAAGACGGUACCUCUUGAAUAAGCCACGGCUAACUACGUGCCAGCAGCCGCGGUAAUACGUAGGGGGCAAGCGUUAUCCGGAUUUACUGGGUGUAAAGGGGGCGCAGACGGCGAUGCAAGCCAGGAGUGAAAGCCCGGGGCCCAACCCCGGGACUGCCCUUGGAACUGCAUGGCUGGAGUGCGGGAGGGGCAGGCGGAAUUCCUGGUGUAGCGGUGAAAUGCGUAGAUAUCAGGAGGAACACCGGCGGCGAAGGCGGCCUGCUGGACCGCGACUGACGUUGAGGCUCGAAAGCGUGGGGAGCGAACAGGAUUAGAUACCCUGGUACA
rnacentral:rRNA from 1 species